GGGGUUGCACUGGAUUUGACAGUAAAGACAUUGGUAUGUAAGCAUGUCGAGACUUGGUCAUUAGCUCGUAAAUCAGAAUUUCCGAAAAAAUAAUUGGCAACAACGCCUACAGAAUGGCUGCCUAAUUCUAGGAAUUAGAAGCUAUUAGUUCCUCGCUCGCUUUUCUCGGUUAGCACACAGCGAAAAGGAACUCCAUCAAAACAACUGAGAUAGCCAAAGCAGGCGGCUCGAUGCGGCGGCAAAUUCCAAUUGAGCAUACGGUAUAGGUUGGUUAGGAACUGUUCCUGCCUAAUGCCCGACAAUUAAUACAGGACUAAACAUGUAGAAAGCAUAUUACUGAUUUAUCUGGACGGGGGUUCGACUCCCCCCAGCUCCACCC
rnacentral:tmRNA from 1 species